AUUGAACGCUGGCGGCAUGCCUAACACAUGCAAGUCGAACGAGUGGCGGACGUGUGAGUAACGUCUGGGAAACUGCUUGAUGGAGGGUGAUACCUCCUGGAAACGGUACCUAAUACCGCAUACCAUCGGAUGUUCCCAGAUGGGACUAGCUAGUAGCUGGGGUAAAGGCUCACCUCGGCGACGAUCCCUAGCUGGUAUGAGAGGAUGACCAGCCACACUGGAACUGAGACACGGUCCAGACUCCUACGGGAGGCAGCAGUGGGGAAUAUUGCGCAAUGGGCGAAAGCCUGAUGCAGCCAUGCCGCGUGUAUGAAGAAGGCCUUCGGGUUGUAAAGUACUUUCAGCGGGGAGGCGUUACCCGCAGAAGAAGCACCGGCUAACUCCGUGCCAGCCGCCGCGGUAAUUC
rnacentral:rRNA from 1 species